rnacentral:rRNA from 1 species
CAGCUCUCCGAGUGGUAGGGGUGAUUAUUGGGCUUAAAGCGUCCGUAGCCGGCUUAGCAAGUCUCCUGUUAAACUCAGCGACCUAAUCGUUGAAUCGCGGGAGAUACUACUAGGCUAGGAGGCGGGAGAGGUCGACGGUACUUCUGGGGUAGGGGUGAAAUCCUAUAAUCCCGGGAGGACCACCAGUGGCGAAGGCUGUCGACUAGAACGCGCUCGACGGUGAGGGACGAAAGCUGGGGGAGCGAACCGGAUUAGAUACCCGAGUAGUCC